rnacentral:misc_RNA from 1 species
GAUGAAGAACGCAGCGAAAUGCGAUAAGUAAUGUGAAUUGCAGAAUUCAGUGAAUCAUCGAAUCUUUGAACGCACAUUGCGCCCGCCAGUAUUCUGGCGGGCAUGCCUGUUCGAGCCUCAUUUCAACCCUCAAGCCCCCGGGCUUGGUGUUGGGGAUCGGCGUGCCCUCGCGGCGCGCCGUCCCCUAAAUCUAGUGGCGGUCUCGCUGUAGCUUCCUCUGCGUAGUAGCAACACUCGCACUGGAUCGCAGCGCGGCCACGCCGUUAAACCCCCCACUUCUGAAAGUUUGACCUCGGAUCAGGUAGGAAUACCCGCUGAACUUAAGCAUAUCAAUAAGCGGAGGA